CAGAAAAGGAGAUUCAGGACAAGACAGGAGGUCAGCCUCAAGAGGUCAGCUGCCUUGUCCACCUUCUCAGACAACUCUGAAGUCACCACUGCCACAGCCACCUGGAGGAGGCCAAGGCCAGCUGCUAAAAUGGGUCUCAGCAUCCCUAUGACACAGAUUUUUCCUUGCCUCCAUUUUUCAGUCACUCUAGCCUGUCACAGCCUCUGGAGGAACCAGAAGGGAGGUCAGUGUGCCAUUGGAGCCUCGGCCUGGAGCUCCCCACAUCAUGGAGACAAGCCCAGGACUUGUAACCACCAGUCCCAGGCUCUGGCUCACUUCUACAUUCCUCAGCCAGGUAAAGGAAACUCUUUAACAUUCUUGAGCCUCAGUUUCCUCCUCUGUCAAAUGGGUCCAAAUUAUCAUGAUAGUCUUGUGGCUUAACUAUCACAAUGGGCUACAAGGUUCAAACACAGUGCUCCUGUAGUAACACGGUAUGCACCUAACACUGCUUUCCUCUCUGCUUCUUCCUCCCAGGACUUAAAGUGUUGCAUCCCUCCUCCUCCACAUGUCCUCUAUGAGUGCUCCCCAGAGCACUCAUCUUUGCCUCCCAAAGGUUGGGAGGUGGGGAAUCACUAAGAGUGAAGUUGCUUUAGACUGAGUAGGAAAGUAUGACAGCGGGGUUGAGCUAUGUCUGAGGAUUCCAGGUUACCCAGAGGACGUGAGCCACAAGGCCCCGCCAUAGGGAUGCACACUAUGUCCAGUGUUCAAGGUGGAAAGCCAUUUCUCUCUACUUGAAAAACCUGAGAAGCAUCAAGGGUGAGAGGAUCAGCCAAGAGGUCAGCGGGGAAGCAUCUAGACCCACCUGGGACUCCCAGCCUGUCCCAGUCAAAAGAGGAGACAUUCUGCUUCCAACCCCAGAGAGUCACAGUAUGGUCACCCUCAGCCCAUGAAGACUCCAAGUUCUGCCAUUCAGAGGCAGCUAGCAAUGAAAGGCCAAACCCUAAAGUAGCCAAGGUGAAAAUUGGUCCUCCUUCAGGGCAGGGACCACACAUUGCUUAGGUGCCUGCCCAGCUCCAGGUUAAAUCACAUAACACUGAGAGCCAGUUGUUGCCAAAAAACAAGCCUAGGGUUACACAGCAGCUCCAAGGCUGCCUUCAGCAAUUCUGGGGACCUGACAUCCCAAAUUUCACAAGUGAGAAGACUUAAGACUCAGAAAGGACCAACAAACAGGAAAUGGCAAGUAGCCCAGAGGGUGCAUGGCCUCAAAAUUUGCAAGGCACAAGGCUCCUUCUGUACCGAGAACACAGGUGUGUGUGUGUGUGUGUGUGUGUGUGUGUGUGUGUGUGUGUGUGUGUGUAAGAGAGAAAGAGAGAGAGAGAGAGAGAGAGAGAGAGAGAGAGAGAGAGAUUAUGUUAAUUGAGUGGAAAGACACUCCCACCAUGGAUGGCACCAUUAACUGACUGGCAUCCUGGUGCACUUGUGUAAGUGGGGAAAGGGAGUUGAGCAGCAGUAUUCAUUCAUUCAAUAAGACUGGCUGCUUCAGGCUCCUGCUGCCACGAUUUCAC
ensembl:lincRNA